UUUCUAAAACCCUUUAUUUAAGCUCCGUUGGCCGUCCCCAAACGUCAUGCAAUCUCUCUCUUAGGGUUUCCUGCUGGUUUCUUGAUUGCAAUUUGAAUGAUGCACUUUCCUCUAUCUGUGUCUGUACUAUAUGUUGGUAAAUCAACUUUAAAUUAUCGUGAUGCUUUGUUUUUUGGGCGAUUCAAUUUUGAUUUUGCUCUCAUAAUUAGUUUUUUUAUUUAUUUAUUUUGCAUUUGUUUACCCUCUCCUUGAAGUGCAAAUCUGAAUACGCGAGGAGAUAUAACGGAUGCAGAAAUCGAUUAAAAGGUUUAUCGUAGGGACGUGUUGCCUUUUUGUAUACUUUUUCCACAUUCCUUCUCGUACAAAACAUGAUUGUUCAGCCAAAUGUUUCAAGUGGAGAAAGAAAGUGAAGCUUCUGGAGUUGCACUUUACUGAUCGGUGAGGAGGCAUAAACAAGUCAAUCAAAUUGGAAACCAAGGCUGUUGUUGAUCUUGAAUCAAUAAGUGAUGUGAGAUGAAUUAAUUGCCAAAUGACAUCUUUAUGGACGUAAAUGAUUUUGUUGUAACCAAUGUUCUGCAGAUCUUGUGAUUCAGAGUUUAAAUAUGAAUAUAGACUUGUUCAUUUUCAA